rnacentral:lncRNA from 1 species
CUUUAAGUCUUAUUUCUGCCCCAGGAACCUGUCCUUGAUCCACCACCUUCUGGUUAUUAUUUCACUUUGUUCACAUUCCGGGGACAUACAAUCGGCUGAUUUUAUCUUCUCUAACUACAUUUCUGCUUCAGAGGCUUUACUUGGUGGGAAUCAUCUUCCAGACUCCCCAAAGCUGGCUUCUGCCCAACUCACAAACCUCAUCUCACAUGUUGCUCUUUUCCCCUCUUUCACCAGUUCCAGGCACACAGACUUCCUGUCAGUUCUUGGUCAAGCAAGUUCUCGUCCACCUGAGGACCUUGUCCUUGCCUGUUCUUCCGUCUGCCUGGAAGGCUUUCUUCUGUCUUCUGUGCCUGGCUCCUUCCCCACCUUCCGGCCUCACUUGAGAUGUGAUCUUCUCUGACCAUCUUAGCUGAAGUUGGCCUCCUCUCCCUUAAUCUCCAUUGAGCUAAACAGUUUCUUUCAUCUAGAACUUACUAUAGUAAUUAUGUGUUUACUAGUUCACUGUCUGGAAUCGUUUACCCUAGAGCAGUCUACGAUGUAAAGCCAGGAUGGUCAAACUACAGCGCAAGCUUUGUUUUUGCAAAGCUCUGGAGCUUCCCUCUCUGCUGGUCACUCAUUCUUCUCUCUCCUGCUGCCAUAUGAAAAAGGACCCGUUUCCUUCCCCUUCUGCCAUGAUUGUAAGUUUCCUGAGGCCUCCCCAGCCCUGCAGAACUGUGAGUCAAUUAAACCUCUUUCCUUUGUAAAUUACCCAGUCUCAGGCAGUUCUUUAUAGUACCGUGAGAAUGGACUAAUACAGGUUUAAACAGUCAUUUUAGGAAAAUGUUCAAUCUCCUUUUUCUUCCUCUCUGGAUGUAGGGACCUGGGAGUGCGACAUGGUGGCCUCAGGGGAAAAGGGCUCUCGUCUAGACCUUCUGACUGUCCUCUGGAUCUUCCUGGUGUCCAUGCGGGGCUGCUGCUCUGGGCUGGCCCCAGGGCCUUUGGCCAGUGUCCAUGAGGUAAACGUGAGAAACUUCUUUCUGGUUGGCUCUUGGCUACAACAGCCCCUGGUGGUUUUCCCCUGCUAAUGCGACCCCACAGGAUCCUAGGAGUUCUAGAAAUUGCUCUGAGUUUAGCUGCAUUUCUGUCAAAUCUCUGAGGCCUCUUUAGGAGGGACGUGUUUUUCUCCGGCCAUGACUGCUCCCAGGCUGGGCCCGCUGCUCUCAGUGCAGUGGCCUUCCUCUCCAUUCUGGGGUGAGAAAAAACUUUCCUUCAUGUCACACAGGAGCUGGGGGCAACUUGGGACAGGUCCCCAAAACUCUCUGUGUCUAACCAGGUUCUCCUGUCCCUUUCCCUUUGCUGCAGCUGAAGCCGUCCCUACCAGGUUGACAAGAAUUGCAUGCAGGGUUCUGGACAGGAAUAUAAUAAGUAUUAAUCAGGCCGCUCUUUGGCGCACUUCCUUUUUGCCGAAAAUCAUGUGGCACUAGAUCCUGACCAUUUGCAUCCCCCAUUGUUCUAUAGAUAGAAUCUCUGACAUUAGAAUCAUAAGGCUUUGGCUUAAGGAUCACUUAAGAUAUUUUUCAGACCCGGAAUUCCAGCAACCAGUUUGACAACUCCUACAGAGAAACAGGAUCCACAUAAGGAUACAGCUUCUUCAUAUCCCUGUCCCAUGACUUCACCCUGCGUUCUUCAACCAAUCAAUGUGUCAGGCCUCUGAGCCCAGGCCUGCACGUAUACAUCCAGAUGGCAUGAAGUAACUGAGGAAUCACAAAAGAAGUGAAACUGGCCGGUUCCUGCCUUAACUGAUGACAUUACCUUGUGAAAUUCCUUCUCCUGGCUCAUCUGGGCUCAGAAGCUCCUCCACUGAGCACCUUGUGACCCCCCACCCCUGUCCGCCAGAGAGCAACCCCCUUUGACUGUAAUUUUCCACUACCUACCCAAAUCCUGUGAAAUGGCCCCACCCCAUCUCCCUUCACUGACUCUAUUUUCGGACUCCGCCCGCCUGCACCCAGGUGAAAUAAACAGCCUUGUUGCUCACACAAAGCCUGUUUGGUGGUCUCUCCACACGGACGCAUGUGACACAAUGAUCCCCACACUUCACCCCACUCCAAAUCCCCAAAAAGCCCUAGGCCCACACUCCUUGGGGAGAUGAAUGUGAGGUUUCCUCCCAUCUCCUUGCUCAGCGAACCUGAGAUUACACCUCUUUCUCUGCUGCAACCUGGAGUCUCAGAAUAUUGACUUACUGGGUACAUCAGGCAACAAACCUGUUGUAGUUCUACAGUUGCCCAUGUGGCCUGGAG